GACGAACGCUGGCGGCGUGCUUAACACAUGCAAGUCGAACGGAAAGGCCCUGCUUUUGUGGGGUGCUCGAGUGGCGAACGGGUGAGUAACACGUGAGUAACCUGCCCUUGACUUUGGGAUAACUUCAGGAAACUGGGGCUAAUACCGGAUAGGAGCUCCUGCUGCAUGGUGGGGGUUGGAAAGUUUCGGCGGUUGGGGAUGGACUCGCGGCUUAUCAGCUUGUUGGUGGGGUAGUGGCUUACCAAGGCUUUGACGGGUAGCCGGCCUGAGAGGGUGACCGGCCACAUUGGGCCUACGAUACGGCCCAGACUCCUACGGGAGGCAGCAGUGGGGAAUAUUGCACAAUGGGCGGAAGCCUGAUGCAGCAACGCCGCGUGCGGGAUGACGGCCUUCGGGUUGUAAACCGCUUUCGCCUGUGACGAAGCGUGAGUGACGGUAAUGGGUAAAGAAGCACCGGCUAACUACGUG
rnacentral:rRNA from 1 species